rnacentral:rRNA from 1 species
UACGAAGGGGGCUAGCGUUGCUCGGAAUCACUGGGCGUAAAGCGCACGUAGGCGGAUUGCUAAGUCAGGGGUGAAAUCCUGGAGCUCAACUCCAGAACUGCCCUUGAUACUGGCGGUCUCGAGUCCGGGAGAGGUGAGUGGAACUGCGAGUGUAGAGGUGAAAAUUCGUAGAUAUUCGCAAGAACACCAGUGGCGAAGGCGGCUCACUGGCCCGGUACUGACGCUGAGGUGCGAAAAGCGUGGGGGAGCAAACAGGG